rnacentral:rRNA from 1 species
GACGUAGGAGGCAAGCGUUAUCCGGAUUUACUGGGCGUAAAGCGUAUGCAGGCGGUUUGUUAAGUUGGAUGUGAAAGCUCCCGGCUCAACUGGGAGAGGUCGUUCAAAACUGACAGACUUGAGGGCGGUAGAGGGAAGUGGAAUUCCGUGUGUAGUGGUGAAAUGCGUAGAUAUACGGAGGAACACCAGUGGCGAAAGCGGCUUCCUGGACCGAACCUGACGCUCAUAUACGAAAGCUAGGGGAGCAAACGGG